rnacentral:rRNA from 1 species
UACGUAGGGUGCGAGCGUUGUCCGGAAUUAUUGGGCGUAAAGAGCUUGUAGGCGGUUUGUCGCGUCUGCCGUGAAAAUCCGGGGCUCAACCCCGGACUUGCGGUGGGUACGGGCAGACUAGUGUGUGGUAGGGGAGACUGGAAUUCCUGGUGUAGCGGUGAAAUGCGCAGAUAUCAGGAGGAACACCGAUGGCGAAGGCAGGUCUCUGGGCCACUACUGACGCUGAGAAGCGAAAGCGUGGGGAGCGAACAGG